GACGAGGAGGAUGAGGAGGA
rnacentral:miRNA from 1 species